AUUGAACGCUGGCGGCAGGCCUAACACAUGCAAGUCGAGCGGAUGAAGGGAGCUUGCUCCUGGAUUCAGCGGCGGACGGGUGAGUAAUGCCUAGGAAUCUGCCUGGCAGUGGGGGAUAACGUCCGGAAACGGGCGCUAAUACCGCAUACGUCCUGAGGGAGAAAGUGGGGGAUCUUCGGACCCCACGCUAUCAGAUGAGCCAAGGUCCGAUUAGCUAGUUGGCGGGGUAAAGCCCACCCAAGGCGACGAUCCGUAACUGGUCUGAGAGGAUGAUCAGUCACACUGGAACUGAGACACGGUCCAUACUCCUGCCGGACCCCGCAGUGGUGAAUAUUAGCCCAGUGUCCAAAGCCUGAUCCAGCCAUGCCGCGUGAGUGAAGGAGGUCUUCGGAUUGUAGAGCCCUUCAAGUUGGGAGGAAGGGCAGUAAGUUAAUACCUUGCUGUUUUGACGUUACCAACAGAAUAAUCACCGGCUAACUUCGUG
rnacentral:rRNA from 1 species